GCACCCCUAGCUCAACUGGAUAGAGCAUCGGUCUACGAAACCGAAGGUUACUGGUUCGAAUCCAGUGGGGUGUA
rfam:Rhodopirellula sallentina SM41 cSM410207, whole genome shotgun sequence.